GACGAACGCUGGCGGCGUGCCUAAUACAUGCAAGUCGAACGCUUCUUUUUCCACCGGAGCUUGCUCCACCGGAAAAAGAGGAGUGGCGAACGGGUGAGUAACACGUGGGUAACCUGCCCAUCAGAAGGGGAUAACACUUGGAAACAGGUGCUAAUACCGUAUAACAAUCGAAACCGCAUGGUUUUGAUUUGAAAGGCGCUUUCGGGUGUCGCUGAUGGAUGGACCCGCGGUGCAUUAGCUAGUUGGUGAGGUAACGGCUCACCAAGGCGACGAUGCAUAGCCGACCUGAGAGGGUGAUCGGCCACAUUGGGACUGAGACACGGCCCAAACUCCUACGGGAGGCAGCAGUAGGGAAUCUUCGGCAAUGGACGAAAGUCUGACCGAGCAACGCCGCGUGAGUGAAGAAGGUUUUCGGAUCGUAAAACUCUGUUGUUAGAGAAGAACAAGGAUGAGAGUAACUGUUCAUCCCUUGACGGUAUCUAACCAGAAAGCCACGGCUAACUACGUACCAGCAGCCGCGGUAAUACGUAGGUGGCAAGCGUUGUCCGGAUUUAUUGGGCGUAAAGCGAGCGCAGGCGGUUUCUUAAGUCUGAUGUGAAAGCCCACGGCUCAACCGGGGAGGGUCAUUGGAAACUGGGAGACUUGAGUGCAGAAGAGGAGAGUGGAAUUCCAUGUGUAGCGGUGAAAUGCGUAGUUAUAUGGAGGAACACCAGUGGCGAAGGCGGCUCUCUGGUCUGUAACUGACGCUGAGGCUCGAAAGCGUGGGGAGCAAAAAGGAUUAGAUACCCUGGUAGUCCACGCCGUAAA
rnacentral:rRNA from 1 species